UUAAUUUGUGUUUGAAACAUACAUUUUUAAUUAUAAUAUAAUCUGACUGAUUGUUAGUCAAUUACAAAUAGAAAAAAAAAAUACAAUAUAAGCAUAUAUAAUUGCAAAUCAUUCACAUUUAUAAUUACGUAAUUUUGUACCGUAUUUGACCCUUACUUUAACAUCCUCAUUAUUGAAUCAAUCUACCUGACACAUAUUGCUCGUUUAGAAAAAUCGUGCAGAUGUCUUAAUGUGAUCAGAUAAUCGUAACUUGACGUGAUUGAGGGAUAAUAUACUUCACGUGUUAAUCUUUUCGCUUUUGGAU
rnacentral:lncRNA from 1 species